UAUUUCCAUGUUCAAUCAUUGAGCAUUAGAGUAAUAUCAUCCAACCAACUAUUACACAAAACACAACUAAAAUUAUACAACAAAAGAAUAAGUCAAUGAUCAAUCUGUUAAGUCUGCUCCAAACUUCUCUGUCAUUAUCAUUUUGUUGAAGUAGCAAUUGCUGAAAACUCCCUUAUUGAGAACCUUUAUACGAUAUCCAAGAUGAAGAAUAAGGACAUAGAUGGGAUUGCUAGUUUGUACAAAAUAAGAACCAUAUUACAUUCCAGAAAAUAUAAAAUUAAUUAAGCAUAAAUAUAGAAACUGGAUUAUAACUUACAAUGUAAGAAUCAAAAGGAAACGAUGGAUAAAUAUCAUAUCCUUGUAAUUGGUAUAUGAUCACAUGUUCCUAAAUAAUGACCAUUAUUUAGUGACCAUUAAAAAUUAAAAAAAAAAUUAAAUAAUAUUACAUUAAAGAACAUAAAACUUACUGGAUCCUUAUUGCUCUCCUGCGGUGGGACUACAAUAUCCACCUCAGAAGAUAAUGGUGUUUGUACAUUUGAAUCCUGCAAAUCCAUAAAAAGAUACAUUAAAAUUAAAAUUAAAUUAAUUGUAGAAUAAUUAAGUAAGUAGUUUAAUCUUACCUUAAUUGUUGUCAUCUAAUUCUUCUUUUUUUGGCUCAUAAGAAGAUAAUGGUGUUUAUCAAACAACGUCAUACUUUUUUUGUUUCACAUCCACAUCAUUAUCAGUUUUUUUAUUAUUUCCAUCUAAAUUGUUGUUCAUCUAAUUCUUCAAAAUCUUCGACUUUGUAGUUUUUUUUUCAAAUCCUUCAUUUUUAUAUCAUGAAAAAUAAAUUAUAUUAAUCAUAUAUAAUUCAAACAAAAUCUACAUUUCAAAUAACUUAUUUCUAAUAAUUUUAAAAUAUAAAUACAAUAAAUCAAAACUUUCCUCAACAUGCUAAAUUUAAUUAGCUAGGUAGGUGAAAAAGGUCCAAAAUCGUCAAGCACACCUUCAAGUAAGGCUGGUCGGCGACAUGAUCGGUGAUGGGCUGGUCGGCGAUGGGCAUGGCGUGACAGCGAUGAUGGCUAGUCAACGAUGGGCGCGGCGUGACAACAAGUUUCGUGGGUGAGUGACAGCCUGAGAGAAACAGCUUGCUAGUGGGUGAGUGAGAGAGACAGAUCGGGUGAGAGAGAGAGAGAGAGAGAGAGAGACGGAGAAAAUAAGCGAGUGAGAGUGACGGUUAAGAAUUUUGGAAUUUUCAAAUUCUUUAGAUUCAAAUUCUUCUUCUUCCUAAUAAAUCAUUUCUACGCAAGAGACACGAUG
rnacentral:lncRNA from 1 species